rnacentral:rRNA from 1 species
AUUGAACGCUGGCGGAAUGCUUUACACAUGCAAGUCGAACGGCAGCACGGACUUCGGUCUGGUGGCGAGUGGCGAACGGGUGAGUAAUGUAUCGGAACGUGCCCAGUCGUGGGGGAUAACGUAGUGAAAAUUACGCUAAUACCGCGUACGAUCUAUGGAUGAAAGCGGGGGAUCGCAAGACCUCGCGCGAUUGGAGCGGCCGAUAUCAGAUUAGGUAGUUGGUGGGUUAAAGGCCCACCAAGCCAACGAUCUGUAGCUGGUCUGAGAGGACGACCCGCCAAACUGGAUCUGAGACACGGGCCAGACUCCUACGGGAGGCAGCAGUGGGGAAUUUUGGACAAUGGGCGAAAGCCUGAUCCAGCCAUUACGCGUGCAGGAUGAAGGCCCUCGGGUUGUAAACUGCUUUUGUACAGAACGAAAAGGUUUCUACUAAUACUAGGAGCUCAUGACGGUACUGUAAGAAUAAGCACCGGCUAACUACGUGCCAGCCGCCGCGGUAA